rnacentral:rRNA from 1 species
ACUCAAAGGAAUAGACGGGGGCCCGCACAAGCGGUGGAGCAUGUGGUUUAAUUCGAUGCAACGCGAAGAACCUUACCUGGGUUUGACAUCCUCGGACAAUGGUAGAGAUACCACUUUCCCUUCGGGGACCGAGAGACAGGUGCUGCAUGGCUGUCGUCAGCUCGUAUCGUGAGAUGUCGGGUUAAGUCCCUUAACGAGCGCAACCCUUAUCCCUAGUUGCCAUCAUUUAGUUGGGCACUCUAUGGAGACUGCCGGUGUUAAACCGGAGGAAGGUGGGGAUGACGUCAAGUCCUCAUGGCCUUUAUAUCCAGGGCUACACACGUGCUACAAUGGCCGGUACAGAGGGUUGCCAACCCGCGAGGGGGAGCUAAUCUCAGAAAGCCGGUCUCAGUUCGGAUUGAAGUCUGCAAUUCGACUUCAUGAAGCUGGAAUCGCUAGUAAUCGCGGAUCAGAACGCCGCGGUGAAUACGUUCCCGGGCCUUGUACACACCGCCCGU